UACGGAGGGUGCAAGCAUUGAUCGGAAUUACUGGGCGUAAAGGGCGCGUAGGCGGCAAAAUAAGUCGGAUGUGAAAUUCCGGGGCUCAACCCCGGAGCUGCAUUUGAAACUAUUUAGCUAGAGUUCAGUUAGGGUAAACGGAAUUCCACGUGUAGCGGUGAAAUGCGUAGAUAUGUGGAAGAACACCGGUGGUGAAAACGGUUUACUGGGCUGAAACUGACGCUGAGGCGCGAAAGCAUGGGGAGCAAACAGG
rnacentral:rRNA from 1 species